rnacentral:rRNA from 1 species
UGAGGAAUAUUGCGCAAUGGACGAAAGUCUGACGCAGCCAUGCCGCGUGCAGGAUGACGGCCCUAUGGGUUGUAAACUGCUUUUGUAUAGGAAGAAACUCGAAUACGUGUAUUUGAUUGACGGUACUAUAUGAAUAAGCAUCGGCUAACUCCGUGCCAGCAGCCGCGGUAAUACGGAGGAUGCAAGCGUUAUCCGGAUUUAUUGGGUUUAAAGGGUGCGUAGGCGGAAUAUUAAGUCAGUGGUGAAAUCCUGCAGCUUAACUGUAGCACUGCCAUUGAUACUGAGAUUCUUGAGUACGGUUGAGGUAGGCGGAAUGUGUAAUGUAGCGGUGAAAUGCUUAGAUAUUACACAGAACACCGAUUGCGUAGGCAGCUUACUAAGCCGCAACUGACGCUGAGGCACGAAAGCGUGGGGAUCGAACAG